rnacentral:rRNA from 1 species
GACGAACGCUGGCGGCGUGCCUAAUACAUGCAAGUUGAGCGCUGAAGGUUGGUACUUGUACCAACUGGAUGAGCAGCGAACGGGUGAGUAACGCGUGGGGAAUCUGCCUUUGAGCGGGGGACAACAUUUGGAAACGAAUGCUAAUACCGCAUAAAAACUUUAAACACAAGUUUUAAGUUUGAAAGAUGCAAUUGCAUCACUCAAAGAUGAUCCCGCGUUGUAUUAGCUAGUUGGUGAGGUAAAGGCUCACCAAGGCGAUGAUACAUAGCCGACCUGAGAGGGUGAUCGGCCACAAUGGGACUGGGACACGGCCCAAACUCCUACGGGAGGCAGCAGGAGGGAAUCUUCGGCAAAGGACGAAAGUCUGACCGAGCAACGCCGCGGGAGGGAAGAAGGGUUUCGGAUCGGAAAACUCGGUUGGUAGAGAAGAACGUUGGUGAGAGUGGAAAGCUCAUCAAGUGACGGUAACUACCCAGAAAGGGACGGCUAACUACGUG